ACCCCAUAAAUAAAGUUUUAACUUUUUUUAGAA
rnacentral:tRNA from 1 species